rnacentral:rRNA from 1 species
GAUGAACGCUAGCGGGAGGCCUAACACAUGCAAGCCGAGCGGUAUUUGUUCUUCGGUGCAGAGAGAGCGGCGCACGGGUGCGGAACACGUGUGCAACCUUCCUUUAUCUGGGGGAUAGCCUUUCGAAAGGAAGAUUAAUACCCCAUAAUAUAUUGAGUUGCAUCAUUUGAUAUUGAAAACUCCGGUGGAUAGAGAUGGGCACGCGCAAGAUUAGAUAGUUGGUGAGGUAACGGCUCACCAAGUCAAUGAUCUUUAGGGGGCCUGAGAGGGUGAUCCCCCACACUGGUACCGAGACACGGACCAGACUCCUACGGGAGGCAGGAGUGAGGAAUAUUGGACGAGGGGUUCGCGCCUGAUCCAGCCACCCCGCGUGAAGGACGACGGCCCUAUGGGUUGUAAACUUCUUGUGUAUAGGGAUAAUCCUACUCUCGUGAGAGUAGCUGAAGGUACUAAACGAAUAAGCACCGGCUAACUCCGUG